UACAGAGGGGGCAAGCGUUGUUCGGAAUUACUGGGCGUAAAGGGCGCGUAGGCGGCCUUCUAAGUCGAACGUGAAAUCCCUGGGCUCAACCCAGGAACUGCGUCCGAUACUGGGAGGCUUGAAUCCGGGAGAGGGAUGUAGAAUUCCAGGUGUAGCGGUGAAAUGCGUAGAUAUCUGGAGGAAUACCGGUGGCGAAGGCGGCAUCCUGGACCAUUACUGACACUGAUCCGCGAAAGCUAGGGGAGCAAACGGG
rnacentral:rRNA from 1 species